GUGCCUGCCGCCGCGGUACUACGGAGGGUGCAAGCGUUGUCCGGAAUCACUGGGCGUAAAGGGUGCGCAGGCGGGGCAGCAAGUCGGAGGUGAAAGCCCAUGACUCAACCAUGGAAGUGCCUUCGAAACUGUUGCUCUUGAGUCCCGGAGAGGCUGUCGGAAUUCGUGGUGUAGCGGUGAAAUACGUAGAUAUCACGAGGAACACCAGAGGCGGAAGCGGACAGCUGGACGGGUACUGACGCUCAGGCACGAAAGCGUGGGGAGCAAACAGGAUUAGAUACCCGAGUAGUCC
rnacentral:rRNA from 1 species